UAGAACUCUCAGCUCCUUCUCCCUUUCAGCUCCUUCUCCAGCACCAUGUCUGCCUGCAUGCUGCCCUGCUUCCCACCAUAACAAUAAUGGACCAAACUGUAAGCCAGCCCCAAUGAAGGGUUUUCCUUUUUAAGAGUUGGCAUGGUCAUGGUGUCUCUUCUCAGCAACAGAUAUCCUAAACAAGGUGCCUACUCACUUCAUCCUCGGAAACCAAGUACCAACAGAAUCGGUUUAAAGGAAGAAGAGUUUGAUUUGUCUUGCAGCUUCGGAUGGUUCAGCCCAUAAUUUUCUUGACUCCACAUGCUUGGGGAAAAAAUAAUUAUUGUAGUUGGGAGCCUGUGGAGAGUAGCCUCUUCAAGCCUUGUUGGAAAGGAGAGAGAGAGAAGAGAGCUCUGGGGCCCAUGGAUAACCUUCAAAGCCAGGCCUCCCCUGACUCACUUCCUCCAUCUGGUUCACUCCGCAAACUUCCACUACCUCCCAGAAUGUGACCACCAGCUGGGAACCAAGCAUUCAACGCAGGAGCUAAGAUGUACACUUCAAAUUCAAACCGUAACAGAGACCACUCUGCCUCGGGCCUCAGGGUACUCCUCUCCCUGUCCUGUGGUGUCUGACAGUCUUUGUGCUGGAUUUAGGUUGUAUAGCUGUUCAUCUGCAGGUGUGCAAGGAAAUCAACGAAUGCGUGCUUCACAGUGAUUUUUGAAGAAGUUAAAAUAUUGUGUAAUGUCUUCUCCAGAGAUAAGGCCUAUGAAAGUCAUAACAUUUGACCCUCCUUCUGUGACCCCAAGCAUGAAGCUCAGGCUCAACAUACUGCCAGGGCUCUGCUCCCCAUAACAACACAGCUCUGCUGGGAAAGGAGAGCCAGUAACCAGUGUCUCCUCCUGCCCUGUCCCUAAGCCUGCACUCAGUGACCCCCUCUUAGCAGAAACCUCAGCUUCAGGGAAUGAUUUGUUUGAAGGCUCAUGUCAGGUUGUCAAGUGAUCCUAGCCUAUCAAGAUGAAAAACAAUAGAGUCAGUAAAAAAAAAAAAAUUACCAGCCAGUAAAGAUGUCCAUGGGAGUGUGCGGUCACAGAGAGACCCAGGUGGGAAGACUGUCCAGAGAAAGGGGUGGAGCUCAUCAUUCCUCUGGAGAGCCCCACCCAGCUCAGCCGAAGGUUUGAGUUUAUGCAAUGCAAACUCUGUCUCCGCCCCAUAGCAUUGGUGGGGCUGGGUUGCCUGAAGCAAACUCUGGACCCUUGAAGAGCUCACAAUGACAGGUGCCAUUAUACAACAUGACAAGAAGAGUAAGCAUUCUCACACAGGGAGUGGAGGCAGCACAGAGCACAGACUGUUAAUCCCAUCUGGGGCCAGGGACAGGAAGAAACACAGAGAAUCCGAUGACUCAACUCAUGUGUUUACUUGUCCAUCUAACAAAUAGAUGCUGUAAACCUGCCAUGACACAGAACAGUGACUCGCUCUAGCAGAAUCAGGUCUGAGGACUUCUAGACCGAGAGGGCUCAUGCCUGCCUGAGAGAGCCUUCGCCAUAAAGCAGAUUAUUGAAAGAACUGUAGAACUUUCCCGGAUAUAGGGGAUUUUCUAUGGCGGUAUCUGUGCUUCGUGAAGAGUGACGUCACUUCCUGGUCUCCAUGGCACCGUGCUCUGCUCUCUUCCUCCCUCCUGGGCACUGCCACCCUUCAGUUCCCGUCCUCAUCUCCUCAUCUCUUCUCCCUGGUCAUCAGCUUUCCCCUGAGCAGCGAUUUCCAGACAGGAGAACUCUGUCGAAUCCUGUGCAUGGAGAAUGAAGCAACCCUGGGGCGGCUCUGUCAGUCAGUGAUCUCCUACAGCGGCGAGACAGCAAGAUCACACAGGUCUCCUUGCCGCGCUUGUGCACUUAGGGUGGUUAGCAUUGUGCCUCGUCACCCUGAUUUCCCCUACACCUGUUGUCCAGACUCUUAGCAGGCCUUCAAAACCAUACGCCUCACAUUCAUGACCUCCUGUUUACAGUCUUCCCAAGUCCCCACCACCAGCUGGUCCAACUGACCUUGCAAAAAUCCCGAGCCCCUGGACCCCCCAGUUACCUUGUGGCGGGUGCUACUAGAAUACUAUAUGUAGGCAACUCGCAGCCCUUCGGGUGCCCCAACGGGGAGCAUGGCUUUCUGUUUGCCCACACUAGGAGGCAGAAGGAAGAUCUUGGUGCAAGAGGAUUGAAACUGAGGUCCAGUCCAUAGUUCGGAGGUCACAGUCCCAGGUGUGCUGGUUUCGUACAGAGACUUAGUGUACAACAUAAGAGACAUGGUUUGAGAAAUUCUCCAACAGAGUCCAGUACUCUUACCACGAAAACUAAAGGUGCUGGGGUCUCCAACUUGGAUAGUCCUCACUAGCUGUUUGGUUGUGGCCCCUUCCAAAUCUAGCGCACAAGACAACAGGCAGCUGGGCAGGAGCUCAGCGUAGUGGCCUGCAGCACACACGUGGGCCACCCAUUCCAGUCAAGUCUCCUUCUGACUCGCCUUCUCUUUGAGAAUCGCUGAGGGCCCUGCGGAGAAAGGCUGAGAGAACACACAGAAGCGGCUUGCACACAGAGCGUGGCCCGGAGUUUGCCUGUCGAAAAGCUGCGUUCCCGUCAUCAAGACCCAAAGUUGAGCCUGUCUUCUCCAGAGGAGACCACUGCCAUCAGAGGCAGCUGUCAUAGGCCCCACUGUACUGUCCCUCCAGCCCUGAAAACCUAUCACCCCAUUAUGUGUGUGUCUGCCUGCCUGUGAUGAUCGACUUACAGUCAGCUCCCGGAGUUAGCCUGGACUACUGAACCGACAUUUUAGACCCCUGUUAGCAGCACCACAGCACUGUCCCCUGCAGGUGACAGUGACAGAAUGAAACUGUGUUUGGCUAAUAAAUAAAUAAAGAUAAAAUCAUUUUAAAUGAGGACUCAGGGAGACACCUGGGACACACACAUUUCCAGCUCUUUGCCUUCCCGUAUGAGAGUAGUGACGUUGCUCCCGUUGCAGUUUGGUGAGGUCACAUGACUUUCUUUGACCAAGGACACAUGAAUGAAGGUAAACGUCACUUCAAAAACAGUUAAUGGUGGUAGAAGGCUUUUCGGAACUUUCUCCUCUUGCUGUUGAUGUGGGAAAUCCGCAAUGACACACACAGUCAGUUUCACUGAUAAGUCUCCCAGGUUCAGCCACACACUGUGCACACAUAGAAUGAAGCGUUCCUUUUUUAAAAAACCCUUGAAAUUGCAGAGGGUGAAAGGCUAAUUCCUGUACCAUAAAGUGGCCUAUUUCACAAGCACAAAGCCAGAAGAAAAGCAUGAGCCAACUGAGAGCAGGCUCUGACUGUCCUGCCACAUCUCCUGUGCCAUGGAAUCUACGCUAAUGAUGUUGUUAUGACUGAAGACGUUGCCGGACAUUGGAGAACUCAGAGUACAUGUGCCCAUACCCUGAACUGAGGAAGUUACAGAACAAAGAACUCUUAAAAUGCAAAUUAAAUUAAAAACAAGAAUCAA